rnacentral:rRNA from 1 species
UACGGAGGAUGCGAGCGUUAUCCGGAUUUAUUGGGUUUAAAGGGUGCGUAGGCGGAGUGCCAAGUCAGCGGUAAAAAUUCGGGGCUCAACCCCGUCGUGCCGUUGAAACUGGCGCCCUUGAGUGGGCGAGAAGUAUGCGGAAUGCGUGGUGUAGCGGUGAAAUGCAUAGAUAUCACGCAGAACCCCGAUUGCGAAGGCAGCAUACCGGCGCCCGACUGACGUUGAGGCGCGAAAGCGUGGGGAGCAAACAGG